rnacentral:rRNA from 1 species
AUGGUUGUUGUUGUGGAUAUGGUUGUUGAGGUUGGUGUGGUUGCUGGGGGAAUGGUUGUUGGGGUUGCUGGGAAAUUGUUUGUUCUAGUUGCUGGGAUAAUUGUUGUUGGGGCUGCAGAAAUGGUUGUUGUGGUUGCAGGAUGGAUGGUUGUUGGGGUUGCUGGGGUUGGGGCUGGGGAAAUGAUUGUUGUGAUUGUUGGGGUUGCUGGGAAAAUGGUUGUUGCGGUCGUAGGGGGAAUGGUUGUUGUGGUUGCUGGGGGAAUGGUUGUUGUGGUUGUAGGGGGGUCGGUUGUUGGGGCUGGGUAA